GGCCAGUGAGCAAGGACAAUGAUGCUUGGCCAGGUGACAGCAAUGUCCUGAAGCUGCACCAGCACCCUAAGAGACAACACCUCUGCUUCCUGAUCUUGGUACACAACACUGGGGCUGCAAGAAAGAUGACGUCUGAUAGUGUUCUACUUGAGCAUGAGAGGAGCCGAGGAAGCGGAGUGACCAUCAACUGAAGCCUCUGAAGCCCUGAGCCAGCACCAGUCUCUGCUCCUUUCAGUUGACUUCCUCAGGUAUGUUUCACCACAACUAAAAUCUCACAAAGCAGAGAAGGGCCCUCUGGGGAAAGUAGACAGAACUUAAAGAGUCAAAGAAUUCUAUAUUCAAACUUGCUAUUCUGGAUUUUCCUGAAGAGAUAUUUUUCCAAGGCAAUGGGACAUAACAUAUUUUAUAUUACAGCUUCUUAGCUAGAUGGAGAGCUUUUUAAAAAUGUAGACAUAUGGUGUGCAAGCCUCCAUUUGCACUCUUACUUCAGCCUGCAAAUGUUGGACAGGCUUUCUG
rnacentral:lncRNA from 1 species